rnacentral:lncRNA from 1 species
CAGCCAGGAUCACCGGUGGUCAUAGCUCCGUCGGCUGCUACAGCCGCUGCAGGCACACAAACUACCGUUCCUCCAAGCACGUUAGGAGUCACUAAUGCACAAUCUACACCGAUGACGACUAAUCCACCAACUUUAGACGGGCAGAUCAAGCUUGCUACAGAUCUAUUGGCAUCGGCAAUGUCGGGAUCGGUUCAUCCUCCUAACUGGUGGGGUUUUGGUAUGCCCCCGGAGUUCACGCUGAAGACACCUGGUACGUCCCAAGCGGUUGAUAUGAGAGGCAAGGCUCCUAUGGCAUCGGCACCUCCAAAUAUGCCGAUGAAUCAAAGUCCC